rnacentral:rRNA from 1 species
GAAGAAGCACCGGCUAACUCCGUGCCAGCAGCCGCGGUAAUACGGAGGGUGCAAGCGUUAAUCGGAAUUACUGGGCGUAAAGCGCACGCAGGCGGUCUGUCAAGUCGGAUGUGAAAUCCCCGGGCUCAACCUGGGAACUGCAUUCGAAACUGGCAGGCUUGAGUCUUGUAGAGGGGGGUAGAAUUCCAGGUGUAGCGGUGAAAUGCGUAGAGAUCUGGAGGAAUACCGGUGGCGAAGGCGGCCCCCUGGACAAAGACUGACGCUCAGGUGCGAAAGCGUGGGGAGCAAACAGGAUUAGAUACCCU